CUGACCUGUCCUAUUUCUGCAACACCCUGCUGCAAGAGCAACUGUACAACAGCAAAGGAAGAUGGGAGAAGAGCAAAGAACAACUGGAAUCAACCAGACACCCAGAGCUGCAGCAUCCCAAUCAGGUUUGUACUGGAGGUGUAAGUGUUUGCUGUCAAACCGUGGCCAGUGGUAGAAGAUGGAGCUAGGAGCAGAAGAGAACUUGACAUGACAUUACCAUGCUGGCAUCUUUCCCACUCGAUGGUCUUUGUGCUGUUUUGUCUUUCAUAUUUAUUAGUGAGUGGACCAUGUAUAAAAGUAAAACUAUCAAGGAAGGCAACUUCGAAGUUUUUGCUCUUGUGUAAUGGAUACCUGUCUACUUAAAAAUGGACAGCAAACAUCCUUUCACCCAGACAACCAUCAGAUGGCCAAUCCUGAUCUACAAUAAUUAAGUGGCAUUCAACCUUGCUCCUAGUUUUCAGUCCUUUCCAUUUUACCUUUGGGCUAUUGUAUUUCUGUGAAUAUACUAGUUUAGACAAUUCUUAAUUUAUAUUUGGAGGUUCACUUCUGUCUUUCCACCUGAGGAAUCAAGGCUAAAGUAAUAAUGGCAAAAUGCCUGAAAAAAUUGUCACUGAAGACCAAUUUUCAAAAGUAUAUAGAUGUUUGAAACCUACGGGUUUAAGAUAUCUCAAAGAAAGAAAAUAGGGCUUUAGAAGUGAGAUUCAUUAGAUACUUUUGAAAAUUUUAUGUCACGUGCUCAUCCAUAUGCUUAAAUACUUAUGGUUAGUGUCACAGUCAAAUUCAAAAUAUCAAGUCAAAAGUUGAUUUUAUUUUAUAUCAAUAUGCUUAAAGUAGGAUCAAUGUAAGGUUUUGGUUUAGUCGUAUGAAGUUUUGUGGGCUUGUUUUUCUUGGCUUGAAAAUAGUCUUCCCACCUGAACUUUAUAUAUGGCUAGCUGCAAUUAGGAAAAGUAAUAACAGGACAGGAGACACAUUCAACAGCAGAAAAUACUGUCGAUUAUUUCCAAAGCUACAGAGAAUUUUCUGAUACCUGCCUCUCCAGGCGUUGCACUUCAGAAAAUUGUAGUAUUCCUUUUGCCUGAAUGGGACAAUUUGUAUAUGAAUUCUCUUAAGAUGCUUAUCUGUAUUAGAUAGUGUGACUGUUUAGAAAAUGUGAAUUAAUAGGGC